UGGGGAAUAUUGCACAAUGGGCGAAAGCCUGAUGCAGCAACGCCGCGUGAGGGACGACGGCCUUCGGGUUGUAAACCUCUUUUAGCAAGGAAGAAGCGAAAGUGACGGUACUUGCAGAAAAAGCGCCGGCUAACUACGUGCCAGCAGCCGCGGUAAUACGUAGGGCGCAAGCGUUAUCCGGAAUUAUUGGGCGUAAAGAGCUCGUAGGCGGUUUGUCGCGUCUGCUGUGAAAACCCGAGGCUCAACCUCGGGCCUGCAGUGGGUACGGGCAGACUAGAGUGCGGUAGGGGAGAUUGGAACUCCUGGUGUAGCGGUGGAAUGCGCAGAUAUCAGGGAGAACACCGAUGGCGAAGGCAGAUCUCUGGGCCGUAACUGACGCUGAGGAGCGAAAGGGUGGGGAGCAAACAGGCUUAGAUACCCUGGUAGUCCACCCCGUAAACGUUGGGAACUAGUUGUGGGGUCCAUUCCACGGAUUCCGUGACGCAGCUAACGCAUUAAGUUCCCCGCCUGGGGAGUACGGCCGCAAGGCUAAAACU
rnacentral:rRNA from 1 species